rnacentral:rRNA from 1 species
GUGAGGAAUUUUCGGCAAUGGGCGAAAGCCUGACCGAGCAACGCCGCGUGAGUGAUGAAGGUCUUCGGAUCGUAAAGCUCUGUUGUAAAGGAAGAACUGAUACUUGAGGAAAUGCUAGUAUCUUGACGGUACUUUACUAGAAAGUCACGGCUUACUACGUGCCAGCAGCCGCGGUAAUACGUAGGUGGCAAGCGUUAUCCGGAUUUAUUGGGCGUAAAGGGUGCGCAGGCGGUCUGUUAAGUUUGAGGUGAAAGCGUUGGGCUCAACCCAAUCAAGCCUUGAAUACUGGCAGACUUGAGUGCAGAAGAGGGUAUUGGAAUUCCAUGUGUAGCGGUAAAAUGCAUAGAUAUAUGGAGGAACACCGGUGGCGAAGGCGGAUACCUGGUCUGUAACUGACGCUCAGGCACGAAAGCGUGGGGAGCAAAUAGG